GUCGAUAAGCGGGAUAUCAAUAAUAGGAAGCACGAGGUUUUAUUUAAAAUGUAUUUUAUGCCUUCUAACUUUGAUAAGUUUAGUUAUAAGGUUAAAUAAUAAUUUUUAGAAUUAUAGCAUACAUAAUGAGUAUCAACAAAACUUUUAUAAUGAAACUGGAAUAAAAUAUAGUGCAAAGCUUUUUAUUGAUAUAUUUAUGAAUGCAGGUUUAAGUGAAUCAAUUGUGAGGAUUUCUUUUUUCAAAACUUUUAGCCUAGUAGUCGGGUAACAAAGGUUGGUUCGAAGCCUAUGUUAUUAAGUACUAACCCUUCACCUAUUAAGUAAUUAAGAAUUAAGUCACCUCUGGAGUUGGUGCCCGUGCUUCCCCAUGUCUCGUUGUGGCCGUUGGCGUCGCAUCUGUAGAUUUCACCAGCUGUAGAUUUUUCCUCUUGCAGAAGGAGAUCUCCCACUUCCUUUGGAGGAGGUAGAUCUGCUUAUAACAUCAAAUUCAUCCACUCACACUUGCCCAUGGUGUGAUGUAAAUGUAUAAAGGAAAUGAAAAUUAAAGGAUCAUUCAGAACUAUAAAAAGUAUUACAGAAAAUACAAAUUUAUAACAGUGAGGCAACAAUCUGGAGGAAAUAUAACAAAAGCCAAAGAUCUUAAAAACUGUAUAAACAUACCUUUAAUCAUUGGCGACGAAGAAACACCUGUCUUAAAGGAUAUUCCCCCUCCUGAGCUUCACCUUUUGUUAGGUGUAGUUCAAAAACUAUUUGAUUGUCUUGAAUUGAAGAAUACCAAUGUUGCAACAGAAUGGAUAAAAAAAGCGGGAUUGAAACUAGACCAUUAUGGAAAAUGUAACGGAAAUAACGCCAGACAACUUUUAAAGAAAGUGGAUAUUUUGAAGACGAUAUCGCCCGGUAAAGAA